rnacentral:rRNA from 1 species
GAUGAACGCUGGCGGCGUGCCUAAUACAUGCAAGUCGAGCGAACGGACGAGAAGCUUGCUUCUCUGAUGUUAGCGGCGGACGGGUGAGUAAAACGUGGAUAACCUACCUAUAAGACUGGGAUAACUUCGGGAAACCGGAGCUAAUACCGGAUAAUAUUUUGAACCGCAUGGUUCAAAAGUGAAAGACGGUCUUGCUGUCACUUAUAGAUGGAUCCGCGCUGCAUUAGCUAGUUGGUAAGGUAACGGCUUACCAAGGCAACGAUGCAUAGCCGACCUGAGAGGGUGAUCGGCCACACUGGAACUGAGACACGGUCCAGACUCCUACGGGAGGCAGCAGUAGGGAAUCUUCCGCAAUGGGCGAAAGCCUGACGGAGCAACGCCGCGUGAGUGAUGAAGGUCUUCGGAUCGUAAAACUCUGUUAUUAUGGAAGAACAUAUGUGUAAGUAACUGUGCACAUCUUGACGGUACCUAAUCAGAAAGCCACGGCUAACUACGUG